rnacentral:tRNA from 1 species
GGGGAUUUAGCUCAGUGGUAGAGUGCUUGCUUUGCAAGUGAAAGGCCCUGGGUNCAGUCCUCA